rnacentral:rRNA from 1 species
GUUCCGCCAGGAGCAUCGCUGGGUAGCUAUGUGUGGCAGGGAUAAACGCUGAAAGCAUCUAAGCGUGAAGCCCCCCUCAAGAUGAGAUUUCCCAUUUCUUCGGAAAGUAAGAUCCCUGAAAGAUGAUCAGGUAGAUAGGUUUGGAGUGGAAGUGUAGCGAUACAUGGAGCGGACAAAUACUAAUCGAUCGAGGACUUAACCAA